rnacentral:rRNA from 1 species
CAGCAGCCGCGGUAAUACGGAGGGAGCUAGCGUUGUUCGGAAUUACUGGGCGUAAAGCGCGCGUAGGCGGUUACUCAAGUCAGAGGUGAAAGCCCGGGGCUCAACCCCGGAACUGCCUUUGAAACUAGGUGACUAGAAUCUUGGAGAGGUCAGUGGAAUUCCGAGUGUAGAGGUGAAAUUCGUAGAUAUUCGGAAGAACACCAGUGGCGAAGGCGACUGACUGGACAAGUAUUGACGCUGAGGUGCGAAAGCGUGGGGAGCAAACAGGAUUAGAUACCCGCGUAGUCCCUUUCUCUUAUAC